AGAGUUUGAUCAUGGCUCAGAAUCAACGCUGGCGGCGUGCCUAACACAUGCAAGUCGAACGCGAAAGUCCCGCAAGGGAUUAGUAGAGUGGCAAACGGGUGAGUAACACGUGGGUGACCUGCCUUCGAGCGGGGGAUAACGUUCCGAAAGGAACGCUAAUACCGCAUAACAUCCUGUCUUUUAAGAGAUGGUGAUCAAAGCCGGGGAUUCGCAAGAACCUGGCACCUGAAGAGGGGCCCGCGCCUGAUUAGCUAGUUGGUGGGGUAAUGGCCUACCAAGGCAACGAUCAGUAUCCGGCCUGAGAGGGCGGACGGACACACUGGGACUGAGACACGGCCCAGACUCCUACGGGAGGCAGCAGUGGGGAAUUGUUCGCAAUGGGCGCAAGCCUGACGACGCAACGCCGCGUGGAGGAUGAAGACCUUCGGGUCGUAAACUCCUUUCGAUCGAGACGAAUGUUUUUCGGGUGAACAAUCCGGAAAAGUGACGGUACCGAGAGAAGAAGCCCCGGCUAACUCUGUGCCAGCAGCCGCGGUA
rnacentral:rRNA from 1 species